GCAAAGGCGAAGAAUGAAAUUACACUGUUCAAAAAUCACUGCACAAAUGAAGAUGCUGAAGGGGUUAGAGGAACUUUCGAGCAAUUGAAGAAGGAAUUAGCAACACUAAAAACUAAACUUGAAGCAUAUUUCCAGGCCGCGAGACAAGCUGGACCCUCCCAGACUGCGGAUCGUCCCAAGUAAGAAAUUAAGCAUGGUUGAUAGAUGAAUGCAUGGCAACGACAACAAGGGUUUGAAACAGGCUGCAGAUGUUCGGUGGAAGCGAUAGUAGCUAGUUCAUAUGAACUAAGGGAUUUAGUUAUAUGUAGGAUUUU